rfam:Staphylococcus sp. HMSC078E07 Staphylococcus_spHMPREF2905-1.0_Cont106.1, whole genome shotgun sequence.
AAAGACUACUAGGGGAGCCAUGGAACAUGGCUGAGAUGAAGCAUUCAGACCCUUAUAACCUGAUUUGGUUAAUGCCAACGUAGGAAAGUAGUAAUACAUAUUC